UACGUAGGGCGCGAGCGUUAAUCGGAAUUACUGGGCGUAAAGCGUGCGCAGGCGGUUUUGUAAGACAGAUGUGAAAUCCCCGGGCUUAACCUGGGAAUGGCAUUUGGGACUGCAAGGCUGGAGUUUGGCAGAGGAGACUGGAAUUCCUGGUGUAGCAGUGAAAUGCGUAGAUAUCAGGAGGAAUACCGAUGGCGAAGGCAGGUCUCUGGGCUAUAACUGACGCUCAUGCACGAAAGCGUGGGGAGCAAACAGG
rnacentral:rRNA from 1 species